UACGAAGGGGGCGAGCGUUGUUCGGAUUUACUGGGCGUAAAGCGUGCGCAGGCGGUUGUGCAAGACCGAUGUGAAAUCCCCGGGCUUAACCUGGGAAUGGCAUUGGUGACUGUACGGCUAGAGUGUGUCAGAGGGGGGUAGAAUUCCACGUGUAGCAGUGAAAUGCGUAGAGAUGUGGAGGAAUACCGAUGGCGAAGGCAGCCCCCUGGGAUAACACUGACGCUCAUGCACGAAAGCGUGGGGAGCAAACAGG
rnacentral:rRNA from 1 species